UGGGACAAGUUUAAGAGGAAC
rnacentral:sRNA from 1 species